rnacentral:rRNA from 1 species
CCUACGGGUGGCUGCAGUGGGGAAUAUUGCACAAUGGGGGAAACCCUGAUGCAGCGACGCCGCGUGAAGGAAGAAGUAUUUCGGUAUGUAAACUUCUAUCAGCAGGGAAGAAAAUGACGGUACCUGACUAAGAGGCCCCGGCUAACUACGUGCCAGCAGCCGCGGUAAUACGUAGGGGGCAAGCGUUAUCAGGAUGUACUGGGUGUAAAGGGAGCGUAGACGGCAGCGCAAGUCUGGAGUGAAAUGCGGGGGCCCAACCCCGGAACUGCUCUGGAAACUGUGAAGCUGGAGUGCAGGAGAGGUAAGCGGAAUUCCUGGUGUAGCGGUGAAAGGCGUAGAUAUCAGGAGGAACACCGGCGGCGAAGGCGGCUUACUGGACUGUAACUGACGUUGAGGCUCGAAGGCGUGGGGAGCAAACAGGAUUAGAUACCCGAGUAGUC